UAAUACGUAUGGGGCGAGCGUUGUUCGGAUUUACUGGGCGUAAAGGGCUUGUAGGUGGUGUUCCAAGUCGGAUGUGAAAUCUCCGGGCUUAACCCGGAAAUUGCAUUCGAAACUGGAUCGCUAGAGUACCGGAGAGGGAAACGGAAUUCCUGGUGUAGGGGUGAAAUCUGUAGAUAUCAGGAAGAACACCGGUGGCGAAGGCGGUUUCCUGGCCGGAUACUGACACUGAGGAGCGAAAGCUAGGGGAGCAAACAGGAUUAGAUACCCUGGUAGUCCUAGCCGUAAACGUUGUGCACUAGGUGUAAGUGGUUUUUUCCACUUGUGCCGCAGCUAACGCAUUAAGUGCACCGCCUGGGGAGUAUGCUCGCAAGGGUG
rnacentral:rRNA from 1 species